AAAACUUUGAGUAAGGAAUGUUUUUUUUUUCAUGCUGUUGCCUGAAAACCCCACUCUAAAAAAGGGAGCAUGCCAAUUAGCAGCUUCACACUUGAGCAUCAGUGGGGACUGAAGAGAUUUAAAUUGCAGAACGCAAAAAUUCCCAUUCACCAUGUAUGUGAAAGCAUGUGCAAGUGCACUUUUCUGUGAAUGUAUGCGUGACAGUGUCUCUGUGAUAAGUGCUAUGCAAAAGAAUCUAACUAAACUGAAUUUACUGUAUCUGCAAUAUUGGCACUGACUGAGACCCAUAUUGAUAAACUGAAACAAAUUAUGCAUAAGGAAACCUACAUGUGUACAGUUUAAGUUGACUUAACCCAAACUGUCCUUUGAGCCUGUUACACUGGAUCCUCUUCCAAGAGACAAAGUGCCGCCUGCCAUUUUAUGGUGAUUUAGCAACCGUACACAAAGUGACACCGAGUUCACGUACAACUGUGACCAAAACCGCAGACUGUUUAACGAGGCCCACGCUACAGCGAAUCCAAAAUGAACCUCUACAACUAGUUCACCCCGCUGUGAUGCGCACAGCCAACCAAUAACAAGGCCAUAAAUACAAGUGGGGAGCCAAAAUAUUGGAUACUGUGUGAUACUGUCGACUUAGAUUGAAGAGCUCCUUUGCAUGUCAAUUGUGGGUGACCUAUUUUUUCUUUCUUAUUUUACUGUAAAAACAUGUUUUGUGUUGUCCUGGCUCUCUGUUAUCUAGUGGUGCUCAAAUACCUUAAAAGAUGUCCUCUUUGAAAACAGUAGAGCAGGGAUUGAUGGAUCCAUGGUUAUCCAGUUUAAUGUUUUGCAUACUCUUGGCAGAAGUUAAUUUCAUUUGUUAUUCUCCCUGGUUUGUCUCAUCGAUUUGACACUUCAUCUAAUAGCUUAGAGACGACAGAGCCUUAUCAUUUCUUGAUGAAUGAUCGCGACCUUUUCCUCGGUUCCUUUGGGAAUAGGAAUUGACAUCUGUUCUUACACAUUUGUAUGGUUUAUUCCAUACAGUCAGAGAGAGUUAGUGCGCAGAAUUUGUGUGUGUGUGUGUGUGUGUGUGUGUGUGCGCGCACACUUUCUGGAAGGAUAUAGGAGUUGGAGGUCAUACAGUAUCAGACAACCCAAAUUUAAAGAAGCAGUAAGUGAACAUAGUGUGGGUGAGAUGGACGGUGAGUGAGACUGAGGUAGAGAGGGAGUGAGAUAAUGAGAAAGCAAUGAAAGAUUGGCGUUAGUGGCAUUCCUUUUGUUACUGGAGGAAGCAUCCGUCUUGUACAUCACAUUAUACAGAUUGCGGCAUUGACAAUAGCAUGCAUUCAGUGCAUCUUGUAGCAGUGGCUUUAUCUGCUUCUCUGAAUGUGACCAUCUGCCAAAAAAAAUAAAUAAUGACGGUGCAGCAGCUUUGCGACAGAUUUGCCACAGACCUUUUCCCAGUGUGCCUCUCCCAACCCCACCCUUCUUUUAAACCCACCACUACAGCGACGCCAUUGACCUUUAUCUAAUUCCUCAGCCUUGACUGAGCCUCUGUUCCCUCCUGUUCGCUGGCUUUGACUGGUAAACAAGGCUUGAGAUUUCUGUCAGCCCCUCUGAAGCUCUGCUGCUGCUGCUGCUGCUGCCCCCAUUGCCAUGGCAACCAGACUAAGUCAGAUGUAACCUCCAGCAGUAAGCUCAUGGAUUUUUCAGCAUUCAGAUUAGUCCUUGUCUUUAUGUGUAUAUAAAUAUGCUUGUUUGUGCGCACUCUCUCUCUCUCUCUUUCUCUCGCUCUCGCUGUGUACGUGCGUGUGUGCGUGCGUACAUGCGUGUGCAAGUGUGUGUGUGUUUGUGUGUGUGUGUGUGAAUAAAAACUCAAGACGUCUAUGGGAAACCUGACUUAUGGGCAGAUUGUCCACUUGAAUUGAGAUUGAAUUGUGUGCAUAUCUGUGGCUAAAUCCAAGAUUCUCAAUAAGAUAUGAUGUUGAAGUUUUCGAAUGAUGGGUUCUGAAUGAGAGGAAAGCAUACUGAACCCACCUCAGUUCUCAGGCUGUGUGCUGUUUACGGAACAGUUAUGCAAUUGACCUGCUCUGCCAUUUGGCUGCUACUCGUAAAUAGUUUAGCAACACUUCACCCUGCAAAACGAAUGUCCAGUUCCAGCCAUUACAUGCCUGGAAAAAUCCCCGGAACAAAGGUUCCCCAAAAAAAGGUUCCCACUUUUGUGUUCAGAAAAGGUCAUUCAGGUUGAAGUAAUAUUUUUCCUCAUUUCACACUUCCUCAUUUUAGUUAUGUCAGUCUGCGUCCUCUAGAAUUUGAUGGACACGGGCUUGCAUGGAUGGAGGUCUGUGCCAAAUGGCAGUGGACAGCAGAGUCUGGAGACAGAGUUUGUUUUUCAGCUUUCCAUCUGGGGAGCUGUAAACAAGGCAAUGGAGUAUUUGAAAACAAACCUGCCCCACCCCAAACGGCUGUCAUGACAUUACGCAAAACAACAGAUUUUUCAUCGACUGUCCAUCCUCCAGAAAGGAAAGGCAGCAUUGAGGCCAAUGUACUGGGCGGCAGUGUAAUAUAAUAGGUAAGGAGUCGGUCUUCUAAACUAUAGGUCGCAGGUUCGAUUCUGCUGUUGUACUCUUGAACAAGGUAUUUUACCUGCAUUGCUUCAGUAUAUAUCGAGCUGUAUAAUUGGAUACAAUGUAAAUACUAAGUAAAAAAAGUUGUGUAAGUCGUUCUGGAUAUAAGUGUCUGCUAAAUGCUUGUAAUGUAAUGUAAAGUACGAAUUGGUGAUCAUACAUUAAAACUGGAGAAUAAAUUCAUUUGAAGGUUCCGCCAUAUUUCAUUGCACUUGUCAGUGGCAGUUGCGAAAGCCCAGCUUUGAUUUCAGCAUGUGAGUGCCGUAAAUGUUUGAACAGAUUGAAUUUAUUUUGGGUUGCCUGUCCCUGUAUCCCGUGAUGGGUGCUGGAGCUGCUAGAUCAUUUUAGGUAAUGAUUUCUGAAAAAAAAAAAAACACCCCACGGUCUGUCUUUGAAACGGGUUUCUUUGCUCGUGUUUCAAGGUCAUGUGACGCACCAAGGCGCAGCGCCACCUUUUUCCGUCUCGCAAACUCAAGAAGCGAGCAGGUGCUUGGGAGACGAUCGUGUGACGCGUCUAACUUUAGAACGCUGUUCGGACAUUUUUUUCCACCUCCUUGUGCUGUUUCGCCACACGAUAUUCAGCCUGGCAUCCCAGCCAGGCAAUGAUCAUUUAGGGUCCCUCCACGAGAGUCCCCCCGGAUCCCCCUGUUCCCCCGUGUCGCUGUGUCAGGCGCUGGUCGUGUGCAGAAUGCAUUCCCCACAUCGUCAGUCCGGUGCUCCUGCAGCGCACGCUUGUUACCACGGUACCGGUCUGAACUAUGUGUGGGUAAAGGUCAGGGGGUGAGAUGCAACAGCUGGUUAUGUCACCGAGACGGAACGAGCUCAGUGCUCUUGACGGUAGUGUUGGACUAUAAUGGUCUAGACAACAUGCAGGAACAGGUUGUCAUAUGAUACCAACUCCCCAGUUUCUCAGUCAAUAGGGAAGACCCUGCAGAAACAAAGGAAGAAGCGACCAAUAUGCUGGGAGCCUGAGGGACAGGACUGUGAUGUGUCCAAAUCAUCACACAUCAUGGGUCCAAUCAUUCAGUGGAAAUAUUGUGCAAGGUUGUGUUUGGGCAUGCACUGUACACAGUCUUGUAUUAGGAGAGCUCUAUCUAUCUCUCUCUGAGUGCUGGCUGUGGUGGUGCUUGGCUAUUCCUUUCUGUCUCCUGAUUUCUGUCAUGACGUGGACGUGUCCCUGUCGGUUGAGGCUAGGGAGGUACAAAAAAUUGCGAUUGCCUUGUAUUUUCCUGAGCACUGAAUUCAAAAAAACCUCUUGUGGGCAAAAACAGUAUUCGAGGCAAACACAUUUUAUGUGAUUUCAAAAAAGAAAAGAAAAAAAAGAUUUACCUCUCUUUGUACUUUAGACUGGGCCGGAGGCCUGUAGUGACUGCAGUUGACAGGACCAAUGCUGAAACAUUGGGACACGCUGACUGGAUCAAACCAUACUUGCGUUAUGGACGUGUGUUCACAUUAAACCACACUGCACUCACAUGUUCCACCUGAACGUUUCACACAGAGCUUGGAGGAUGAAGGCACGUUUCUGUGGGAAGUGGCACCAGGAGAGCUGAAGCUAACCCCCCUUCAUUAAAAAGCUCAGCUCUUUGUUUUGCUUCCAAUUAGGCCGAAGAGGGUGAUAAUGAGUGCUAGUCACAGUUUUUAAGAGAAUCGCUGAUCCCAGAGGUGUGACAGGAAACGACAACUCUCUUUCGACACCCCUCCUCCCACACCGCCCCUUUACCUGCCACCCCUAUCUCACACAUAUCUCUAUGGCAGCUGCUCUGGAGAAACGAGGCUUGCUUUCCCCCAAGUGCAGACAUAGCUCUGUGUCAUUUGCAUUUGAAUAGGAGAUGUCAUGUCUCCAGGUACCGUUUCUACAGUUAAUGUUACGUGUGUGUGUUUUUUUGCUUUGCUGUUGCCAUCGUUCAAGCAAACUCCAGAUCACAUUAUUUGUAAUAGGGCGUUCUGUGGAUCAUUCUCUGUCUCAAACCAUUGCAUAUUACAUUACAGUACAUUCAUUUAAUCAGCACCUACCCAGACUUUCUUAGAAUGCAAACCUGUUUCAAGCCCCAACCGUCACGAUUUAUUACAUGACUUCUUGACCUCUUGCACUAAUGCAUCUCCUGGAAAAUCUUGUGUUGUUUUUUUUUUUGAGCCGUUUUUUUAAAAAAAGAAAAAAGGGUUGAAAUGGUACACAGCUGUUGUGUGGUUGGGGGCCAGACCUUUAACCUUUCGGUGCAGACGGAGGCAUUCUCACCACAAGUGCCACUGAACCAGUCAUCACUGGUUUUCACAGAUAAUUUGUGGGCAAACGACCAUCCAAAAUGGUCGCUCUUCAAACAGGCUGACCUCUUUUUGGCGCCGCUUCGCUGCUUUUCGCAGCGCCGGAUGCACCGAUCGACCUUGGCUGCCAACGAUUCGGCAUCGACGCGUGCUUUCUGAUGGCCUCAGCAGAGCAUGCCUAUUGACAUCCCCAGGCACUAAAUGGCACGGCGCACCAGAGAACAUCGCAGCGCACACAGAAAGACGGUCCGCGCGCCGGUCUCCGCUAAUCGCCGCCGCGUCAGAGCGGAGACGCCGCUCCACGCCGCGCGACCUCGUGGCCCGCGUCAGAGGGAUGAUGGAGAUUUUUCCCCCGCUUCCUAAUUGAAAAACGGGCUUCUAGACGAUCUGUCAUUGGGAACCCAGAAGCAGGGGUGGAGCAUUAUCGGCGCUGCAUUAAUUAAUUCUUUUUCUCCAGGGUUAGGGGGCAGCGGAUCUUGGCACGCGGUUGACAUUGCUGAUUGAAAUUGCUUUGUCCCCCCGGUCUCUCCCUCGUGGCCCAGUUGGGCCCGGGCCAGGCUCUGUUGCGUCCUUCAGGAGGAGAGAUUCUCGCUGGUGAUCUCCGGGAGACGUUCGAACCGGCCGACUUUUUUCUAACUGACGGCUUACGACAGUCAUAACGUAGAUUACAGAAACUGCCCCCUGACAUUUUGGUUGAGGAUCCCAGGAAUGGUCUCCCAAGCAUCGGCCGAACCCAGGCCACAGAAAAGCAGUGGCAGAUAGCUGCAGAGGCAUGGACAGACACUACCCUUAGCUUUCUGAAAUCUUCACAGAGGCCGCAAGGACGCCAGAGUGCCACCGAGGCCAAACCGGAGGAGGGGAGGUGCUGCCAAACUGACUAACUGCCAGCUGCCCCCCCCUGAGCGGGCCUAUGUGGGAGUUUCUAACAGCCAACAGAAAGUGACACUUGAUAGGGUUCUCUGUUCGCUCCCCCCAAUGAAGGACUGGGUAUCUACAGGUCAGGAGUUGUCUUCAGUGUCAGAGUUGUCAAAUUGGCGCUAUAGCUAGCUCCCGGUAGUACCAUGUGCACUGAAGAAUGUCAUAUGCUUACUGAAUCACAGCUGAAAACAUUGUAUGCUCUUCAGCUCCAGAGCUUACACAGGGGUAUAGGUGGUACAGCAAUGAUAUGAGUAGCAAUUAUGCAACUUUAAAUUGUGGAGAAAAUCGGAAAUGAAUUGUUAAUUGUAAUAAAAUAAAAACAUCACAGACAAUAAUACUUGGUUCUAUAUUCUUUCAGAAUACAAGUGACAAUCCUGUCCUAAAAGUGAAAUGGGCUGUCUCACAGAACCAAAACUCCAUCAUGGGCUGACUAUCCUCUACAGAAAGUUAAUUUCUGUGCAUUCAUUUUCCAUCAAAGUGAUGUAUAGUCAGUUAACUCACAUUUUACGCACAGGAAUGUUAAGUUUGAAGCGACAAUGUGUUUUUAACCGGUUUGCUAUGCAGACCCAAGGGCUGUUUCUUUCAGGGAGCACAUUGAAUGUAAGUGUAUGUAAAAAAUAUUUGUUCAUUGAUUCUGGGGUGGGAACCAUGACAACGGAUGAUAAUACAAAAUAAAGUUAACAAUAUUUUCAUUGUAUUACAUUUCCACAACCUCCUUACUGUAAAUGAUAACACCUAUUAUCCCCUACUAUUCUUUUAUAAUCUUUCUGUGGAGGGAGUAUUGCUUGACUCUUGUGAGUAAAAUGAACCUCACCUAUCAUCUGCAGGAUUGUUUCCACAAAGCAAAAUGCCACCUGCAGUAUUCAACCUCUAAGCUUCAGGCUCAUGGAAACAUAAACAGAAGUUGUUGAACUACAGCCUUUCCCAAAAUGUAAAACAGUAACCGUUUGCUGUUUUUUUUUCUCUCCCAGAAAUGAAAAGCAAUCGUGGGGUCUGGGCUCUUCUUCUCGCCGUCCUCAGUGCUAUCUUCAGAUCCGCAUCGUGCUGACAGUGCGGAGCAGCCAGCGUGACGACGGGAACGAGCGGGGUUGGGGGGUGGGGGGGAGAGACGUGCAGGGAAAGAGGUUAGCCACUUUCCUGCUUUUGCACGCUGCGUAUUGAGUCCCAAGGUCACUGUCCUCAGCCGUGAAGGAGAAAGGCAAUGCAUAUUCAGCAGUCCUGAGCGUUUUAGUCCCUCUCCUUGUCCAGUUAGGGGAGCGAGCUCGCAGGAGACUGCUCGCUCUUUCAGUGUCUGUUUGUCUACGUGUCCGAAUUCAGGAAAUUGACAGGUUCACUUUUAACCAUUUUGCAUUGUGGUAAUAGCUUGCCGCAAACCCAUCAUAAUGUAUUACAGUUUGUCUCGAGAUUUCGCAUUGAAAGGGGGUCAUUUAGAGAGAAAUAUAACAGAAAUGACAGCGUGUAGAUUCGUGGUUAAUGCACAUUACCCUAUUUUCCACUGUCCUCUCUUUCUCUAUUUGACACUGAGAAUUCCCUCAAUGUUCCGGUAGCAUUGUAGCAAUAUUAAAAGCAAUGCGACAAUGUUUUUGGUACAGCUUAGGAACUGUGUAUUUGUAGUGGUCAAUGGCUACAGUCGUGAUGCAACAAAAAAUGAUUGAAGAAAUAAAAAGAGGUGUUAUGUAAUCUGACAAUCUGGGGGGGAAAAAAAACAAGGGAGAGACUCAUUUUGUCAUCCUAGAUAUUUUCCAGUGUAUUAUCAAUCUGGAGGACGAGAGUCACAAAUAUGUUUUGGAGCCCUUGGACAAAAAGGAAUUAGUUUAGGUAAGACAGGGUGAAUAUCCAGUUUUUUAAAUAUAUCAGCAUGAUUUAAGACUAUAUCUAGUAGUUUGUUUGCACAAGAAAUGAAUGGAAUGUUCAUUUAAUAUGAUCAGUAAUCUGAUGAUUAUUUUUUAACAUUGUUUGAACUGUUUGUGAACAUUGUAGAAAUUGGUAAAUUAUCACAGGAAUGUUCAAGCAAUAUCCUAAACGUGUCAGUUUACUUUUGUUGAACUGGGUGCAUACACCUUUUUAUUUAUUUAUUUAUUUAUUUAUUUAUUUAUUUAUUUAUUUAUUCAAUGUUGUAAACAUAGGAAACAUAGGAAGAUAAAAUUGCUAUGGGUCAAGACUAAACCAAAAUCAAUGGAAAUGCUUGUCCUUACACACCUAAACACACUAACAUAGACAAUCUUAUCUUGAUGUUGAAGCCCACGUAGAUAUUUUCUGCCUGUUUACAUCAA